AGGGUAUAAAAAGUACACAAAGUUUUAUUGUCAAAUAAAAUAUUUUAUACAAAACAUAUUUCUUUUUUCUUGAUUUUGAGAAACAAAUCUCGUAAUAUCAUUAUUUUUAUCAUCACAUUCAAAUCUUUUCAAGAUUGCGAAGUUAACGGGGGUUGAAAGGAAAGAACACGGGCACUGGCUAUUGAAUCAUGAAAUAAUAAAAUAAAAACAGGCUAAUUUAUUUCAGAUUAGUUAUGGCGCGAUGUUUGUUUAUGUUGAAUUUCAUCUCUGUAAUGACUGUUAAACUAAUUUUCUGAAGGGUUCAAUAUAGUUUCCUGUGUUUUUUGGAAGACAAUUGGAAAUGUCAUGUAAAGAAAGGGAAAACAAACAAAACAUACAGUUUGAAAGCGUGAGUAGCUAUAGAAUGUACAUCGAGCAGCAUCACUAAGAACAACAACCAAUUAUUUUUCGAUUAGUUUCGCUAUCAUUCCUGCCAGCUACUAGCUUUGCAACAACAUCCAUCCAUUCUAGCCAUAUUUGGCACAUCCUUAUAGUGAAUGUAGUAGUAGUAUUUGAAAUGAAACACAUCCAUCUUAACAACUCACAUACACAGAUAGACAAACACAACGGCAACUACAACCACCACUCCACCAUCAUCAUCAGCAAUAUCAACAACAUCGUGAAAAGAACUCGCAACCCAAACUGACAACCACCACUACCAUCGCUUGCGCCAUCCUGCAACAAAGGAACAACUACAACAACAAAAUAAACUGAAAAAGGAAAGUUUAACGAAAAUAUGUUACGGACUUUAGACUCCUACAAUAACAGCAAAACAUAUCACACACACACAUACUGAAACCCAAAUAAAAAACACAUAAAUAUGUAUCAGGCAGCAUCAGAAAAAAAUAAAUAAAUAAAACAUUCAGAAAAAAAGAAA